GAGAAGAACGUAGCGAAAUGCGAUAAGUAAUGUGAAUUGCAGAAUUCAGUGAAUCAUCGAAUCUUUGAACGCACCUUGCGCUCUUUGGUAUUCCGAAGAGCAUGCCUGUUUGAGUGUCAUGAAAAUAUCAACCUUGACUUGGGUUUUGUGCUCUAGUCUCGGCUUGGAAUUGGUGCUUGCCGCUUUUACGAGCGGCUCACCUUAAAUGUAUUAGCUGGAUCUGUCUUUGAGACUUGGUUUGACUUGGCGUAAUAAGUAUUUCGCUAAGGACAUUCUUCGGAGUGGCCUCGUUUCUAGGACGCUUGUCCGCUUUCCAAUACAAGUUCCACCUCGUGGACAUGACUUUUUAUUAUCUGGCCUCAAAUCAGGUAGGACUACCCGCUGAACUUAAGCAUAUCAAUAAGCGGAGGA
rnacentral:misc_RNA from 1 species